AGUGAACGCUGGCGGCAGGCCUAACACAUGCAAGUCGAACGGCAGCACAGCAGUAGCAAUACUGUGGGUGGCGAGUGGCGGACGGGUGAGGAAUACAUCGGAAUCUGCCUAGUCGUGGGGGAUAACGUAGGGAAACUUACGCUAAUACCGCAUACGACCUACGGGUGAAAGCGGGGGAUCGCAAGACCUCGCGCGAUUAGAUGAGCCGAUGUCCGAUUAGCUAGUUGGCGGGGUAAUGGCCCACCAAGGCGACGAUCGGUAGCUGGUCUGAGAGGAUGAUCAGCCACACUGGAACUGAGACACGGUCCAGACUCCUACGGGAGGCAGCAGUGGGGAAUAUUGGACAAUGGGCGAAAGCCUGAUCCAGCCAUGCCGCGUGUGUGAAGAAGGCC
rnacentral:rRNA from 1 species